rnacentral:lncRNA from 1 species
AGCACCUCCAGUGUGGUAGCUUGGGUGGAUAUUUUCUAAUCUGUCCCUGACAGGGCAUUUGCUGCACUCCUGAAAGCAGGGCUGGGGUGGAAGCAGUGCCUGGAAAGCAGCUGGAGGUCUACCAAAAGCACGCUGUGGGCACUGCUGCAAGGAGCCGCCCGGAGCUCCAGGGUGAAGAGACCUGCCUCCCCUGGGAGACCUGCUAAAGGUGAAGACCUCCAAGCAGACCAGGCAGAUUUAGCAGGAGCACAGAAAUUUUACAUCAAGAGCCCCCUGGAGUAUUACAGCCUACCAUUCAGAGGCUGGACAAGAGCUUGGCCUUGCACUUUUACAGAUCGCUGCCUGUAGCGGAGCACAAAGGGAGCGGCGAGACUCCCACGUCUUUCAGCGAGAAGAAAGGAGGCAGCAGAGCAGACUAACGCGGGCUCGCGUCUGGUGGCCUGGCGGUACAAAGGCUGCCUUUAAAAGAGAAGCGCAGCGUUAUUUAAUGAGCUGUGAGAUGAGGAGGCGCUGCUGCUAACGCUCAGAUCCCGGGAUUCAUCGGCUAUUCAUUGUGCUUAAUGUACAUGUUUCUACACCGUGCAUUUAGGAGAUCCCAGAGAAGAAUCCAAAACGGCUG